UAACACCAUAGACUGCAGUCUAAUACUAUAAUAGAAAAAUGUUCGCGGUGGUUUUAAGUUCGCGGUGAAGUGGUAACCGCGAAAACCGCGAACAUUUCUGCAUUUACAGUAUGUGUCACGAGAUAACAUCGUGAUAGUCAGGACCAGGUCUCCCCUGUGAUGAUAACCAUAUGGACAGGGGUCGGGUCACACAGCCACGCCACGGUGGCAGUCAGGAGAGGACACGACGUGGGAGAGGACAGAGUAAAGUAGAGUAGAGUACUAGAGAGGGCUGAUAAACAGAAUGAAGUUGAAUUUAUCAACUAUAUGGCUGUCACCUGUAUUUGAACGUGCACGUGACAUUCUGGUAGUGCAGCUGGGGUGGAGAUGAGGCAAGUUCAACCAAGAUAGAGAUGGGAACUGGGAGAUCGAGAGAACUGAGGACGUGGCAAGGCUACUGCAGUACUGGGCCUGUGAAGUGUGAUGGGUGACGCGCGGGGCAGAGAGGCAGAAAGAACACAUAUAAAGAUGCCUGCCGAUCCCUGACUCUGAAGAGAACGCCAGCCCGGAGUAAAUCUUCCAUGACCACUGUAUUGACACUCGGGGAGCGAGGCAAGAUGCGGCGGGUACGGGCGAUGCAGGGCUUAGUGGGAAAGACAUCUCAAACUACUCGUCAGAAGGAAAGUUACAGGGCUGCAGGGAUACGUACUUGACGAUUACGUCAGACGUUGGCGAUUCCAGUAGGUCAAUCAUCGAAGCAGCUGCGGGUCAACGUCUUUCGGUAUGUCGUCAAGGCCAACCAAGCGGACAAGAGCGAAGACGACGAGGUGUUCCUGACAGACGUAUGUCAUGUCCAUCAGGACGACACAUUCCCGCCACACCCAACAUAGAGGCUCUUACCGCCACAAGGGAAGUAGGUCGAGUCCUUUCACGAGAAGUGGCCAUCGCUGAGAGGAGCCAGAAUAAGCGUUCGUGCGGCUUGAAAAUUUUGAACAGAGGGGGGCACAUAACAUCCAGAACAGCGCCAUCGACAGAAGGAAGGCAACAUGAGGGAAGUAGAGGCCAGUAGCAGAGCCAAGACGUGUAGCCGAUAGAUUUCGA